UUCUUUACCUCCAGUAGUCCACUCUCUUAAGUCUUUGCUAAUACAACUUGGAAUAAGUACAUGUCUGUCUUUAGGGCUUAUAUGAAUAAGGUCUGACAUCCCUUAGGGCAUGAAAGUGCCAGCUGGACAACAGGAAGAAAACAAAAGACCUGGAGAUCAAAAUGACUUGAGCAGAAUCACACAACAGUGACCAGUGCUUCAACGUCCUACUCAUUAGACCUGGACAGAUAUUUCAAGGUGCCAGGAUGACCUGAGCAAGACUGGAUACAAGAAGUGCAGAGGGAUUUUUGGCUGAGAAGUGACUCAGUGAUGCUGGUGAGUGUAGUAUGGAGAUGCCAACCUGGCUUUGCCAUCUGAGGGUCAGGCUGCAAUGCAGUGCAAAGAGCACCCUAAAAGUGAUUCUGCCACAGCCAGGUUCAUGCUGGUACCUCUAUAUGCAGCUCUGUAGUGAUGCUGCCAGCUCAGAUCAGAAUCAGCCUGAGGAUCACCGCACAACAACUUGUUGGGCAGUGAAGACAUAAGCAGUUUUCCUGUUGGCUUUCAAAAGGAAAAUACAAAUUGCUGACUUUUCAGACCUGUUUCUUGUUCAGCAUUGGAGCUCCUCUUCUGCAGAUUGACAGUCCCACUAGCAGAAAGAACAGAGUCAUGAGGCAUCCCUGGUGAAGGACAUGUGGUGCUACUAUCCUUAGGAAUUCACCACUUUUCAGAUGGCAACUGUUACAUGCUCCAGGGGAAUGAAACAUCCAGACACACAAGGGAUCUUCCUACCUCAAGGCUCUUCACAAAAUGUUUCCAAAGAAGAGAGGUCAUCCUGACCAUCAAAAAGACAUAGAUUUUCUUUGUGAUGGGAUACAAGAAGCCAGGAGAGAGCAGAGCCAGGACAGCUGACCCAAACUAGCC